rnacentral:rRNA from 1 species
UACGUAGGGCGCAAGCGUUGUCCGGAAUUAUUGGGCGUAAAGAGCUCGUAGGCGGUUUUGUCGCGUCUGCUGUGAAAACCCGAGGCUCAACCUCGGGCCUGCAGUGGGUACGGGCAGACUAGAGUGCGGUAGGGGGAGAUUGGAAUUCCUGGUGUAGCGGUGGAAUGCGCAGAUAUCAGGAGGAACACCAAUGGCGAAGGCAGAUCUCUGGGCCGUAACUGACGCUGAGGAGCGAAAGCAUGGGGGAGCGAACAGG